GAUGAACGCUGGCGGCGUGCCUAAUACAUGCAAGUCGAGCGAACAGACGAGGAGCUUGCUCCUCUGACGUUAGCGGCGGACGGGUGAGUAACACGUGGAUAACCUACCUAUAAGACUGGGAUAACUUCGGGAAACCGGAGCUAAUACCGGAUAAUAUAUUGAACCGCAUGGUUCAAUAGUGAAAGACGGUUUUGCUGUCACUUAUAGAUGGAUCCGCGCCGCAUUAGCUAGUUGGUAAGGUAACGGCUUACCAAGGCGACGAUGCGUAGCCGACCUGAGAGGGUGAUCGGCCACACUGGAACUGAGACACGGUCCAGACUCCUACGGGAGGCAGCAGUAGGGAAUCUUCCGCAAUGGGCGAAAGCUUGACGGAGCAACGCCGCGUGAGUGAUGAAGGUCUUCGGAUCGUAAAACUGUGUUAUUAGGGAAGAACAAAUGUGUAAGUAACUAUGCACGUCUUGACGGUACCUAAUCAGAAAGCCACGGCUAACUACGUG
rnacentral:rRNA from 1 species